UACCAGCACCCCGAGUGGUCGGGACGUUUAUUGGGCCUAAAGCAUCCGUAGCCGGUUCUACAAGUCUUCCGUUAAAUCCACCUGCUUAACAGAUGGGCUGCGGAAGAUACUAUAGAGCUAGGAGGCGGGAGAGGCAAGCGGUACUCGAUGGGGUAGGGGUAAAAAUCCGUUGAUCCAUUGAAGACCACCAGUGGCGAAGGCGGCUUGCCAGAACGCGCUCGACGGUGAGGGGAUGAAAGCUGGGGGGAGCAAACCGG
rnacentral:rRNA from 1 species